rnacentral:rRNA from 1 species
AGCAGCCGCGGUAAUUCCAGCUCCAAUAGUGUAUAUUAAAGUUGUUGCAGUUAAAAAGCUCGUAGUUGAAUUUCGGGGUUAGUAAGUUGGUCGUGCCACUGGUAUGUACUGGCUUUACUGAUUCCUCCUUCUUGUAGAACCGUAAUGCCAUUAAGUUGGUGUUGCGGGGAAACAGGACUGUUACUUUGAAAAAAUUAGAGUGUUUAAAGCAAGCUAACGCUUGAAUACAUUAGCAUGGAAUAAUGAAAUAGGACGUUCGAUCCUAUUUUGUUGGUUUCUAGGAUUGACGUAAUGAUUAAUAGGGAUAGUUGGGGGCAUUAGUAUUCAAUUGUCAGAGGUGAAAUUCUUGGAUUUAUUGAAGACUAACUACUGCGAAAGCAUUUGCCAAGGAUGCUUUCAUUAAUCAAGAACGAAAGUUAGGGGAUCGAAGACGAUCAGAUACCGUCGUAGUCUUAACCAUAAACUAUGCCGACUAGGGAUCGGAUGAUGUUAAUUUUAUAAUGACUCAUUCGGCGCCUUA